UCGAGCGCCUAUUGACGCACGCCCUAGAUCAGAUCCCGCCGACGACUGCCCCUCCUCAGCGUCCUCCCGCCGCCCCUCUCCUUCGAUCUGAUCUCCUUCGCACCCCGCCGUCGCCGGCGACUCCUCGGCGCCUCGCCGUCGCCGUCACAUCAGACGCCGGCCACUCCUCCGCGGCCUCACGCUGUCGUCCUCUCCUUCGCAAGGAACACCCGACCCUUCCUCCGCGGCCUUGUGACGCCGACCACUCCUUCGUGGCCUCACGCCGCCCUCCUCUCCCUCCUUCCUUCGUCCAAGGCCAGGACUUCCCCUCCCUGACCCGAUCUGACGGAGAGAGGGCCAAGCCUUGCCACUCCGGUGGUCACUUUGGCCAAAUCCGGUCGGGGAAGCCGUAGAGACUAAACGUCGGCGCAGCAGCAGCAGUCCUUGCGACGGUGGGUGCCGGAGCUCGUCAAGCAACUCGCCGUCGGCGGCCACGACCACCUCAUUCCCUGCCGUGCGUCUCCGUCAACUACUGUGGCAUUGACGACAGCGAGCUAGGAGCCUACGAGGUAGACGCCCUGCUGACUGUGUCGUCAAGGCCUCCACAUGGCUCCUCUUGCGGCAGACUGCUGGUUGUUUGUCAUGUCCUUGAUCACCCUAAUUUAAUCCAAGUCAGGUUUUUGGGAUGAAUUGAUGACAAGGAGAGCACGUUGGAAAUAGUGGAAGUGGAGACGGGAGAGGAUGAUGGGAACGAUCAAGUACAUCACAAUCAUCGGCAUCAUGUGGCUCUCCUACACCAACGCAAUUCAGGUUUGAUAAUUGAUGAGGGUGGGUGCCAUGGUCGUCUAUGCUGGGCUUCUGCACGAUCACAUCUUCCACAUGUUCGGUGCUGGAGUGGCUGAUCUUGUGGAAGGGUUACGUUUUCCUCUUCUCAUGGAUUUUGACCAUUGUUUUAGAGGGAUUCGGAUAAUGGUUCUGUGAUUUAAAUUAUGAUGGCCUGCAUCAUGCCUCCCUAUAUUUAAGGCAAAUGAUAAUGGAAGUACACCUUCAUGAACAAGCUAGCCGAGGUCUUGGAAUUCCAACCUAGGUAAACAAGUGAACUCAUUUAACGGUUUCCCCUUUUCUGGUGAUGCAGGUAUAGCUCAUUCAUUAAGGGCUACUCAGCUUUGUCUUUUUCUCUCUCUUUGGUGAUUGGAUUAUAUGCUACUCUGUGUUGAAGGAUCUGUUCAUGCUAAAUUUAACAAAUCUUGUCAUGUUUUCAUAAAUUAUCUAUUUGAUCACUCUGCGUGGAACAGUAAACAUUUGUAGCAUGAUCAGGGUUUGAUUAUUUUUAGCAGUGCACAUAACUUCAGAAUAUAAACCAAUGGGGCUAUCUUGUUCGUCUUUCUACUUAUGUAUGUAUACAUAUGGGAUGCUUUGUUAGUUCUGUUGUGCAAAUAAUCAUUCUUUGUGUUGAUGAGCUAUGAUAAUGGCUCCCCAAAUUACAAUACUUGCUAAACGUACACUUUGUUGCGAUGAAAUCCUAUUUAUAAACAGUAUAUUUUCCUAAUGGAUUGUGAUUAAACUUUGUUGCUUUUACCCACUUUGGUGCUGCUUCAGUGUAUCUGUACUAAAUCGUAAAAUAAGAUGAUUGUAUAUUUUGCUUUAUAGUACACCGGUUCAUGAGAAGAACGCUGAGAAGAUUCAGCUUGCUGUGCUAAAUGUCAUUCUGGCUUGACUCGAUAAUAUCGUGGUAACAUGGUGGAAUAUUUUAUUUUUUAUUGUAACAAACUGUAGUCAAAUUCAUCAGAUAUAUAUACUUCCAGGAUCGGAGGAACAAGUAGUUUUAGCCUUCUGUUUUCGAAUUCUUAGUUUAACAUCUCUGUACUUGUUGAAGCUGUUAUCUCCAACUCUACAUGAGCAUAGUGAUAUGCAGUAUAGAACAUCUCCAUUUUUUUCUUCUUUGGUGAGCAUGGAAUAUCCAAAUUGACAUCUAGAGAUAGAUAAGUUGGUAGGGUAACGUUCACUAGCUUUUUUUAGGAUCAAAAUUGAUGUAUUAAUUUUCUUAUCAAAGGAUGAUUAACGGAAUCGUGGUAUUGCGGCCAAAAUAUACUCUCUUCAGUUUGUUGGUAAUGAGCAAAAUGUAGUCCUACUGGUAAUGGGCUUUGGAUUUGUGCGUGAAAUACAUUGUUGCAUGCAUGUUUCCUAAGUGAAAAAUGUAAUGGUUCUGAAUAUAGCUGGAGAUGAAUUAUUUGCAGCAUCCAAACAACAACAGUGGCAUGGAUACAGUUAACAGUACUAGCAAUUGAUGAUAUUGUCAUAGCAAUUUUAAUUUGGAAAAAAUAUGUGCGAGAUUAGUCUUUUCUUUUCUUUCAUGCAAUGAAGAGAGUACAAAGUAUACUACAAUUUUUUGUAACCCACACAAUGAUUCAAGAAGCAGGGCCAAACAGGACCAAUGAAGACGCGUACAGUACUGUUCUUCAUGAUAUGAUGUUAAUUUUUUCCCGCAAAUGAAUUUAAUAUUUAAUUCUUUGUGAGACAACUACUAAAAUGAAGUAGUUUAUAGGUUUGAAAAUUCCAUGUAUUGUGCAUAUUUUUAUGUGCGUACUUGACUCAGAUGCAAGCUAUUCGCAGUACGUAUAUUCUGAAAGAAAACAUGACGUAGCUGCUGAAUGCUCUCUGAAACGUAGCAUAUUUUUUAAAAUACUCUAUUUGCUUUGAAUGAGGUUGCCUUUUGCUUUAAACAAUUAACUGCAUUCUGAAAUACUUUUAAAUUUGGCUAAGAUUAAGAGAUCUAGCAAAUGAGUCCAAGUCUCAAAACCAGGUGCAUCUUGAGUAUUUCUCCUCCACGGCGGGUGGUCCAUCUCCAUCGUGUGGAGUGUUGCUAGAUCAACAACAUCUGGUCUAUUUGAAUGGCACAUUACUGUUCCGAGUCUCCAAGAACCAGGUACAUCUCUCUUGUCUUAGCCUCUUCUGAUUAUCCUUCCUGUUAUUAUGUAGGAAGCAGAUUACCAACUUUCCAAGCUCUAUAUUCAGCCGUCCUUUCUGAUUGCUCAUACAAGUUCAAUAUAUGAACAUGCUUGUUACACUUAGUUCUUCCAGUUUCUUGAGAUAACCAUGUCUCAAGUUUUUGAACAGCUACAGUACCUAUACAGUAAGAAUCGAACUGCAAAGGAGCUGAACCCUCUGUUGUUUCAUGACUCCCUUAUGCCCUUGCGAGGAGCGGCCACCAUUGGGCAGGGACAAAGCCGUUGAGCGCCCUUGCUCGGUGGUCCACCACCCUUCUCGCCUCCCGUUCGACGCCUCUUCUCCACACCCCUUCGUUCGAUGUGCUUCGACUCAUGAUGUACCAGAGUGGAGUCAGUAUAGAUAUCAGAGGUGCACAUGGGGUCCUCUUUAGUUUUUUUCCUUAAUUGUUAACCAUCUCCAAUUUUAUGUCAACUCUACUUAUUCCAGUUUCAUAGUUGGAGGUAUCAAUGCAAUGCUUUUUAUGUAUAGAUAAUACAUCAAUUUAUAUCUAUCGCCCUGAAGAAAAUGUACAUUGCUGAUACAAAUAAUCUUUAUUUAGUUUACAAACAUGUAAUGAAAUCUACACUACGAAUAAGAAGACUGAAGUAUAGGACGCGCUCAGGGGUGUGCGGCAGCCCAUGGCGGGCAAGGCGUGCUGCAGUGGGGUUAUGGCAGCAUUAUGGUCAUGAGAGAGCUAGCAUGCUCAUUGGUAUAAAUUAGUUACCCUCAUGUGGGCUUAUUUUUUAUUCUAAGUAUUAACAUGCCUUCAAAAUAAUUCUGUAAUAGGUAUAUAAUUGCAGGUUGUUGUGUGAGCUGCACCUAAACUGAGAACUGAAACUGCAAUGAAUUACUUGAAACUUGGUGUCUUUAUAUUUGCCCCAUUUGUUGAGGUUCAGUUUCACUAAAAUGGACAGACCAUGAGCUCCUUUAGGAACUUGUUGGGAAAUGUCGCUUGUCUGGAGAGGCUGGAAAUACGAAGACAAGUAUGUGUUUGAUUAUUUUGAAGCUAUUUAACAUAUUAGUGGUGUCAACGAGGGUAAGUCCAGGUUCCACAUGUCAAGCUAUAUCAGUUUUUUCGCAAAGAAAUUUCUCUUUAUACAACAAGACAAUACUUAUUUGUGAUUUUGCAUGCCGUCGUGGAAUUCUAGCGAACAUGUCAAUUUGUUCGUGAUUUCGGACGUACAGUAUUUGGGUCCCAUGCACGAGGAGACGUUGAUAAGUUACUUCAGAUAUACAUAUGGACCGAACUAAAUAUGUAUUUAGAGAUUAUAAAAGUGUGUGUUGUUUUGCAAUAGUUUUAACCCACUCAACUGUAUUAUAAAUGUGCAAAAAAAAAUCUGGCCCGGUGGCAAAGCAGAGUAUUUAGCUAGGUGAGCUAUAGACCAGGAGCUGGUGGGCGGCAGGGCAAGCACGCCGCUUCUCCUCUCUGUCUCCAGAGAGGCGCGUGCGUCGAAAAAUGAACAUAUCUGAGCCACGCGCCUUGCUUCUACUGGUUUCUAUAGAGAUUGGCUCGCUUAGAUUUUAGACUAGGCGGUUGCUGUCGAGGUCGCCAAGGUGAUCCUACAACACUGACAUGGGGAUUGUUCAUGAUUCUAUCUGGACAAGCGGUGGUUGUGAUUGGCUGGGUGGUGGUGUUGCCUUGAGGAGAGACAAAGUGAAGGUAAAAGCAAGCAAGAUCCGAUGGUGCUGCCGUGAGGAUAGCCAAAGUCAAGACGUAGACUACGGACUCGUCGCAACGAACCUCGACGCUACGAGCCUGAUUCAUGGACCAAUGGAGGGUCUUGACGCUGUUAGGGUUCGGAUAGGAUGAAUGUGGGAGGUGACGUGCUUGGUUGAGUGCCCCUGGAAGAUUGUGUCCUCCCCGUGGAUCUGUCUGUGGCCAUCGUAGAGGAGAUUGUGGCCCUUCCCCGACGAGCAAGAACAAUGUAGGCGGCAGCAGGAGGUAGGGGUGGAUGCGGGGAUGGAUGUUGAUGGUUGCUCGAGGUUGCGGUGUGGAAAGUCAAGAGCACGAAGUCGAAAUCGGAUAGGAGUUUGAGUUCUUGUUGGCCGUGGCUGGCUCCCCACUUUAGUGAUGUAUUUUUUUCAGUUUGUUGAACCUAGAGUGCCAUUCGCAACAUGUUUCAGGUGACCCAGAAGUUCCCUUUCAUCAGCAGUUACAGAGCAUUCAGAGUUCCGAGCUCUGUCGACGUCGCCAGCCUUGUGAAAUGCUAACUGGUCGUCGCUUCUUUCGGUGCUGACGGGAAACACGUAGAUGUUACUGGACUGCAAUUACCCGGCGUGCUGGAUGACAUGUUUGCAUACACAGGACCGCUCGGUGCGGUUUUCAGCAAGGACUCUGUGAGCCUGCACCUUUGGGCUCCUACAACACAGGAUGUGAGUGUGUGGUUCUUGGAUGGUCCGCCGGCCCUGCUCUAGAGAUGGUGCAGCUCAAGGAGUCAAAUGGUGUUUGGAGUGUUACUUGACCAAGAGAGUGGGAAAACCGAUACUAUUUAUAUGGAGUUGACGUGUAUCAUCCAACUAAGGCACAAAUUCUGAAAUGUUUAGCUGGUGACCUUUAUGCUAGAGGGUAUGUGGCUGUGCGUAUUUCAGUUAUGUAGUUCAGGGAGAGGAACUUUCAGCAGAAGAAAAAAGUUCAGGGAGAGGAACUUUCAGCAGAAGAAAAAAGUUCAGGGAGAGGAAGAAACUAGCUUGUUGUUUAUUUGAUCAGCCUUUCUGCAAAUGGAGCGCGGACCUGGUUGGUUGACAUUAACAAUGAAACAUUGAAGCCCGCUUCCUGGGAUGAAUUGGCCGAUGAGAAGCCAAAACUUGAUUCCUGCUCUGACAUAACCAUCUAAGAAUUGCACAUUCGUGAUUUUAGUGCCCAUGAUGGCACAGUGGACAUUGACUCUCGUGGAGGAUUUCGUGCAUUUGCAUACUAGGCCUCAGCAGGAAUGUUUGACUCAUGUGCAUUUGUUGCCAAGCUUUCAUUUUGCUGGCGUUGACGACAUUAAGAGCAACUGGAAAUUUUUCGAUAAGGAAAUAUUUCUCUUUAUAAAAGAUGAGUGUGAACUAGCAACAUUCCCUCCAGGAUCAGAUAUGCAACAAGCAGCAGUAGUAGCUAUUCAGGAAGAGGACCCUUUUAAUUGGGGGUAUUCAUUUCACACUUCUUUUUCCCUCAAACAUUCCAGAUACUAAUGUAUCAUGGUGGUGUUAAUAUCGGAAAGUUAAUUAUGUUCUUGCGAGUAAAAUAUUCUUACAUAUGGUCAUAUUUAUGCUAAAGGUAUGACUCUGUGCUUUGGAAGGUUCCAAAAGGAAGCUAUGCAAGUGAUUUCAUCAGGAAAGAGAUGCAGACGAGAGGAAGAGAGCCUCCCCCAAGCUCUGUCUAGGUGAUGCACGGGCGACGGCCACCCUUCCUGUUAUUGCCUCCAUGGCUGACUGCUCAUCCCCAGUAACCUCGCCCCCCCCCCCUCACGUGCGCCACACUCUGGGAUUAAGGUCUGCUCCUUGGCUAGCAUUUGCGCUGACCGAUUCUCUGAUUUCUCUCCACUGAAGAAUCAAAGAAACAAGCAAGCUGAUGUCUAACAUAUUUGUUUCGUAAUAGUUGGAACUGGAAGAGGAAGCUCCAGUACAAUUCAGAUCUCUGCUCAAACCCUCAAUAUCUCAUGCAUACAUAACUGCUUAUUGUGUGAAUAUUAGACGUUACUUGUGCAUCAUCUUCACCCUUUCCUAAUUCAAUAUCUGUAAAAGUAGGCAAAGCUUCCUGUUAUUAUGUGCUAUAAUAUUUUUGAAUUGCUGUCUAGAAAAUACUUGGUCAGUUCUUCCGUAAGAAAGCUGAAGUUGGAUAUUAGGUGCUUUAACAAAGCUACUCCCUCCGUUCACUUUUAUAAGUCAUUUCAGACAACUCAAAAUAAACUACUUUGCACAUUGUCUGAAAUGCCUUCAAGGCCUUAUAAAAGUGAACAGAGGGAGUAAUUCUUUUAAGCAAUUACAUUACCAUUGUUAGAUAUAUUAUUCAGAGCUCACUAAAGUAGAAAGGUUCUGAUGCUUUGACGGUACAGUUUCCUGAGCAUGCUUCAACAUCAUUUGUUUCUGCAUAUCGUUAAUGGUGGGCUUUUCAUGAUUUUUUUUUCUGUUUUUAAAGAUUGUCAAUACAUGCUGCAAGAUACUGUUGAGUUAAUUAAUUUCCUCGAGUCAAACGAAAAUAUGGAAACUGUCAAGGAGAUGUCGAAUGAUGAAUAUAUUCAGAUACUAAGAGAGGUUCUAAAAUGUGUUUUGGCAGGUUAGUCCUGAUCGUGCUUAUUUUUAAACCCGAAACAUUCUUUAUCAUUGGAGGGUUCUCUAUAAUCCCAUAAUUGCGAAGUCAAUUGCUUAAUUUGAUUGAGAGUAAUUGAGUUAAUGCACAUGUUUAUUUUUCUAGAUCGUAUCUUAACUGCUUGGACUCUUCAUGUACACUAAAUGUGAAACUCAUUAUGGUUUGGAAGUGCCUGAUAGCUUGUGACAUAAUUGAUGUAGUUUAUCAAUCAUGCAAUUUGUUGUUAGCAACAUGUACCAGAUUUUGGUAAUUUCCAUUUCAAUAUUGUUUUUUGUUUUCAUAUAUCCUAGAUCAUACUAAGAUACUAAGAGAUUCCUUACUGCAUUAACAUUGGCAUCCAUGGUUACUUCUCUGUAUAUAUGAAAAAUGUACAUCCUCUAGCUCUCAUGCGUUUUAGUCGCUCUUUUCUCUUUAUGCUGUAUCACCAAUGGCGCGCGCGCGAGAGAGAGGGAGGGAGAGAGCGAUGGAGAGGGAGAGGGAGAGGGGUCUAAAUGAUUGUAUCCGUACCAGUUUCAUGUUUCCAUGCAUGUCACAUAGAAAACAGUAUCUUCAUGUGGCAAGUAUCUAAUGCAUAUACAUGAGUUAUAUUAUUUAUCGUAUUCACAUACUAAUAUAUUCAUGAUUUUUUUUGCAUUGUAGAGUGCUAGCACGCUACAUUGGAGAGAAAGCGUUGAGAGAAUGCUUUGUUAGGAUGAUAGACAUGAAUAAUCAAUCCUGAAUCCUCAUUCCAAGGUUAGAUUUGUACUUCCUGCCCAGUUCUUUUUCACGAAGGACCAAGCCUCUUACUUUAUCCAUUUCUUAAUUUUGUUCCUUCACAGAAAAACAUUUUCUCAUUUCAAUCUUUCUCCAUUUGGUAUGAGUAUGACACACGCUCUGAAUUUUUUGACUAUUCUUGGUUGAUUAAUGGUUGGUGUAUUGCCUUCCACUUUGGAUUAUUCUAAAUCUUCUUGCUUAGGCUAUGUGUACCAUUCUGUCAUGUGCCACCAUUGAUCUGAGCAAAAAUCAGUGUAGAUGAACCGAGCUAUUUUAUUAUAAGCUGUGUACAGAACUUCCUGGAAAGAUAACCAUGUAGUUAUUGUUUUAUGCCGUAUAUAUUCAGAUAGGUGAAUUAUCGCAAGUUAGUCCCGGUAUGUUAAUAGGAUUGUGCCAACCUAGAGCCUUUUCAGAUCGUGCCAACUCUGUUUGGGGUUUCCUUCUACCUAAUCAAGGCUUAGCCCAGUUUGUCUUGUCCUUAUCUCCUUUUCUGUCAUAAAUUCUUCAUCUAUUCAAGAAGCUCAUUUUUGUUAGUUGGAACAACUGAAAAAAUCAUACUCCCCCGUUCCUGUAUAUAAAGUCUAAUUGUUUUUUCAAAAGUCAAACGAGUGCAUGUUUGACCAAGUUUUUAGAAAAUAUAUUGAUAUCCACUGUACCAAAUUUAUAUCAUUCGAUCCGUCAUGAAAAGUAGUUUUAUAUUUUAUCUACUAGGUUUUUCAGAUGUUGAUAUUUUAUUCUAUAAUCUUGGUCAAACAUUCGAAUGGUUGACUUGGAGGAUAUCAAUACACCUUAUUUUCUGGAAUGGAGGGAGUAUCAUUCUUGGUGUGACGGACAAAUAGAAAGAAAGGUCCGCAAAGAGUGCACUCACAAAAGCCAUGUACUGUAGGCCAUGAGUGAUUACCUUGAAAGCUUUCUCAUCGAGGCCAUAGUUCCAAACUAUACCAUCCUUUAAGAAACAUUCAAUCAGAAUUGGAGGAAAUGCCAUCCAUUGGGGUUCUGAAGUUCUGAACUUUGAUCUCUCUAUUUGAAUCGUUGUUAUUAUUUUGUCUGUAGGCCAUGAGCAAAUAAUCUGGAGAGUGCCUAAUGUUCCUCAACUUUUCUUAUGUUCCAAAUUCACUAUUAGUGUUGAUCAUCUUCAAAGAACAGAAAACGUAUGACAGGAUUAAGAUUGUAAUUUGUGCUCAUAUUUUUUUCCAAAAUUCACUGCUUGAUUAAUUUUGUUGUAGAAGCUUGAGAGAAAAAGAUAGUAAAUACAUAGUAACUUUAUAUUGAUUUAAGAGUAAUAGCAACACACCUGCUUUUAACUAUAUAUAAAUAUCUCUAUAUUGUUCUAUACUGUCCGUCAGCAAGCGAGCGUUUGAAUUGCUGUUGAUGUGCAUUGUACAUGGGCUUGGCCACUUGGAUCGUGAGACGAGAUCGAUCGAGCCGAAUGCGUCAUCGACGAGGAGGUGAGUUUGGAUUUGGACGGUGAAGAUGAGAAGAUAGUUGGGGAGGAAGAAGGUAUAAAAUCAACAAUAUCGUCUGGUGUGCAUGAGGAUCCUAAUGGUACAUGUUUGACGCGAUCGUUGCUAACCUAAUAAGAUAUGCGGUGGCACGAGGUGGUGGCAUAAAUGGGGCGGUUGUGCUGGAUGUCCAAGGCUGCACUAGGGAGGUGCGAGCGGUGCCUCCCGCAAGAUUCCAUUGGGGCGACGCAUGGGCGGCAGCCACCCCCAAGACCCUGUUAGCACAAUUUCAUAAUAAUAUAUUUAUACUCCCUGUUGUGCAAAAUAGAACGCUAUUGUUUGUAGUUAUAUUAGUUUAUUUCCUCUAUAUACAAUGACACGUCUUAUUAUGUGUCCAAGAGGAAGGAAAAAUAUAUGUUUCUAGGUGUUAUGUGACUUACCUUUAAAAGGAAUAACUCUAAUAAGAAGUCCUGUUUUAGAUGCCGA